rnacentral:rRNA from 1 species
CGAACGAGCUCUCCCAAAUUGAUUUUAUGCUUGCAUAAAUGAUUUUUGGAUUCGGAGCGAGUGGCGAACUGGUGAGUAACACGUGGGUAACCUGCCCCGAAGCGGGGGAUAACAUUUGGAAACAAGUGCUAAUACCGCAUAAUUAGUUGGAACCGCAUGGUUCCAACUUGAAAGAUGGCUCUGCUAUCACUUUGGGAUGGACCCGCGCCGUAUUAGUUAGUUGGUGAGAUAAAAGCCCACCAAGACGAUGAUACGUAGCCGACCUGAGAGGGUAAUCGGCCACAUUGGGACUGAGACACGGCCCAGACUCCUACGGGAGGCAGCAGUAGGGAAUCUUCCACAAUGGACGAAAGUCUGAUGGAGCAACGCCGCGUGAGUGAUGAAGGUUUUCGGAUCGUAAAACUCUGUUGUUAAAGAAGAACAAGUGUUAGAGUAACUGUUAACACUUUGACGGUAUUUAACCAGAAAGCCACGGCUAACUACGUGCCAGCAGCCGCGGUAAUACGUAGGUGGCAAGCGUUGUCCGGAUUUAUUGGGCGUAAAGCGAGCGCAGGCGGUUUUGUAAGUCUGCUGUGAAAGCCCUCAGCUCAACUGAGGA